rnacentral:tRNA from 1 species
UCCCUGAUAGCUCAGUUGGUAAAGAAUCUGCCUACAAUCCAGGAGACCCUGGUUCAAUUCCUGGGUUGGGAA